CCUUCCCCUUUCACUUUGCCAGAUGGACUUUUUGUGUCCUUUUUGGCCAUUCUUUAGGGGUAUAAAAAAAAAUCCUUAUAAAAACCCAAGCAAAUUUCACUGUUAGUUUAGCUUGGUUCCUGUCUGAGGAGACACGG
rnacentral:snoRNA from 1 species